GGGGUACUCCCUCUGUCCGAAAAAGCUUGUCCCUCAAAUGAAUGUAUCUAGCAUCAAAUUAGUGCUAGAUACAUCCAUUUGAGGGAUACGUUUGGGACAAGCUUUUUCGGAUUGAGGGAGUACAAA
rfam:Triticum urartu cultivar G1812 contig858348, whole genome shotgun sequence.